UCCUCAUAGAUUCGCGCUUCCGGUGUUCGCUGUCUGAGGUUUCAAAUCAAACACCUGCGCGACAGACGCGAAUAUUCAUAAUUUAAACAAGAACAAAUAGUCAUAAAAACGAGUUUAAACUAAUAUGUGAAGACUUAUAUUAUGAUAUGGACGUGACGGAUCAAUAUUUACUACGAACUUUGACUGGACAGUUAGUUAUUCGUCGUUUUAUGAUCAGCACCUAGAAAGGACCUCUACUGGCCUGAAAGACAGCGGAGACCAGGACAACUAGAGCCCAGAUACAGAUCCCCUGUAAAGACCUUGUCUCAGAGGAGCACCAGGACAAGACCACAGGAAACAGAUGAUUCUGUCACAGGUCGGAGCGGACCACAGGUGUUUCGAGUCACGCCCCUUCCUAGUUUCCACCCCGAGGAGGUCCCAAGAACACCCCAAUGACCAAACACACGAGAAGAGUUAAGGAUAAUUAAAACAACUUUAUUUAAAUUAUUUAAAAAGAUAAUUUAGGGAAGGAGAAAGAGGAAUCUAAAAUUAGAUCUUCGUCUCUUGACAGGAGGGGACUGGGCCUGAGAAAUCUGGAGGUCGUUAGGUAAGUGAUCACCAGGGGAGGGGGCAAAGGGCUCUUUCGUCCUUUCCAGAACUCCCACCAAUCUCCUGACUGAUCCUAGGUCCUUCCUUAUCGGCUUGAUUUCCCGUGGCGCCCUUCUCUUCUCCUGAAGGCAACAGAAACACACGAUGAGUAAUGGGUGAAACGGAGAAAAAUGCCUUGUUCCUAUAUUCGUUGCUCUUCGGGUUUUACUUCACCAGCGUCUGGACAGCUCCUGUACUCCAAUAGACCUCCUAGGUAAGUACGAGGUAACACACAAGUCCCUGAGGGCACAGGUAAGUAACAAACUGGGCUUACAGAGCGUAUUCAAAAUCAAUGACUUUCCAGACACGGCACAGCACUGCAAAACUUCAGGUGUACACACGUCAAAGACAGACUCACCCACUGCACUACACACACUUCAGUGAUUUUUUUAAGGUCGGUACUCCACACCCGAUCGGAUUUCGUCCUGGAGGAGUUUACAGUCGCUGGUACGGUAAAUGCUCCAAACUUUGCGGUGUAGCCACAGCCAAAUAACAUCUGUUCACCCCCACUUUACUUCGGCUCACCCACUCGUCUCGUCCUCCACGAUGGGGCGCUCAACAAGCUAUUAAUCACUCCAGCAGAUAUUAGUUAUCCAUAUCCAAGUAUGAACAAUGAUAUGUAAACAAUCCAAUGUACUCACAGUCUUCGUGAUGCUGAUCUUCUCCUGCUUUCUUUCUCUCCCCAGCUUCUUACAGACACCCGGAAGUGUUAUCGUUGUUCCACAAUGGCACUAUUUUCCUGCGGGACUUUCAUACAACAGACACGGGUGAGUAUGGCUUCUUUCCACAAAACUUCGCUAUGGCAAACCUGUUCCAGUAGUCGUAUUUAAAUCCUCCAAUUCGCUUAGCGACUUCACAAUUGCUCUCAUCUGCUUCGCGAUACUCCAGUGCCCAAAACACUCCGUCUCACUCGUGGCGUUCCUUGGGAAGCAAAACAACACUCCUUCCUGUAUCUUCAACGCUCUCUUUAUACUCCCUUCAGCGUCCAAACUGCCGCAUCUGCGAUCGCCACGUCAUUGAACCCACCUGCUGAAGAUUUCCCUUGAUUCGGGCCGCCCGGAGUUUCCGGAAGUGACGAGGGCUUACACAUUUCGGUCCGGGCGGAACUUUUCCUCUCACUUUCGGUUCCGCCCUCGAAGUCACUCCGUGACAAUUCUUCUGCACAAUCUGACUUUGCUGCAGCCUGGAAUUGAACUUAUAAUAAUAAUUCCUUACAUUUAUAUGGCGCUUUUCUAGACACUCAAAGCGCUUACAUAGUCAGGGGGUAUCUCCUCAUCCACCACCAGUGUGCAGCAUCCACCUGGAUGAUGCGACAGCAGCCAUAGUGCGCCAGAACACCCACCACACACCAGCUUACUGGUGGAGAGGAGACAGAGUGAUGAAGCCAAUCAGCGGAUAUGGGGAUUGUUAGGAGGCCAUGAUGGUCAGAGGCUAAUGGGCGAAUUUAGCCAGGAUGCCAAGGUCACACACCUCUACUCUUUUCGAAAGACAUCCUGGGAUUUUUAAUGACCACAGAGAGUCAGGACCUCGGUUUAACGUCUCAUCCGAAGGACGGUGCUUGUUGACAGUAUAGUAUCCCCAUCACUACACUGGGGCGCUAGGACCCACACAGACCACAGGGUGAGCGCCCCCUGCUGGCCUCACUAGCACCUCUUCCAGCAGCAACCUAGUUUUCUCAGGAGGUCUCCCAUCCAGGUACUGACCAGGCUCAGCCCUGCUUAGCUUCAGUGGGAAACCGGUCUUGGGCUCCAGGGUGAUAUGGCUGACUUAUUUUUUCGUUUCGUUAGAGGAGAACUGACCCCCCAAAUGAGUCUGGUUUCUCCCAAGGUUUUUUUCUCCAUUCUGUCACCGAUGGAGUUUCGGUUCCUUGACGCUGUCGCCUCUGGCUUGCUUAGUUGGGGUCCCUUCAUUUACAGCGAUAUCAUUGACUUGAUUGCUUUGGCGAGUGGGGCGGGGCCGAGGGACGUGGGAACAAGGAGUGAGGCCGGCGGAAUGAUUGGGAAAUCAGCGACACCUGCGACCCACCGCCGGUCUCGAGUCCCACGUAGGAGAUGGAAGGAUAUAAAACUGGAGCGACGACAGUGAAGGACGAGAGAGGACCAGGCCUGGGCUUUAUUUUAUGUUUGCUUUUUAUUUGUGCGCAUCAGUCGUCCGUGAGGGGCUGAUGCGCUGUUUUGUUUAUUUCGUGAUUAUUAAAGUUUCAUUUUGAUUGUGCGCCGGUUCCCGCCUCCUCCUUCCCGAUGAUUAUGGAGAUUUUAUUAUCACAAUUGCAAAUAAAUGCACAGACACUAUUUAAACUUAACAGAGAUGACAUCACUAAAUUCAAUCAUGAACUGCCUUUAACUGCAUUAUUGACACACUGUUUUCCUAAGGAAUGUUGUUCAGUUGCUUUGACGCAAUGUAUUUUGUUUAAAGAGCUAUAUAAAUAAAGGUGACUUGACUUUG